rnacentral:pre_miRNA from 1 species
UGUCUUUUUCCGCUUACUGCCGGUGGCAUUUGAAAUUCUCGACAGCAAACCGAAAAAGGCGCC